rnacentral:rRNA from 1 species
AUUGAACGCUGGCGGCAGGCCUAACACAUGCAAGUCGAACGGUAGCACAGGAGAGCUUGCUCUCUGGGUGACGAGUGGCGGACGGGUGAGUAAUGCAUGGGGAGCUGCCCAAUCGAGGGGGAUACCAGCUGGAAACGGCUGCUAAUACCGCAUACGCCCUGAGGGGGAAAGGUGGGGACCUUCGGGCCUACCGCUAUUGGAUGCACACGUGUGGGAUUAGCUAGUUGGUGAGGUAACGGCUCACCAAGGAGCCGAUCUCUAGCUGGUCUGAGAGGAUGACCAGCCACACUGGAACUGAGACACGGUCCAGACUCCUACGGGAGGCAGCAGUGGGGAAUAUUGCACAAUGGGGGAAACCCUGAUGCAGCCAUGCCGCGUGUGUGAAGAAGGCCUUCGGGUUGUAAAGCACUUUCAGUGGGGAGGAAGGGUUGAUGUCUAAUACGCAUCAGCAUUGACGUUACCCACAGAAGAAGCACCGGCUAACUCCGUGCCAGCCGCCGCGGUAA